rnacentral:rRNA from 1 species
UCGGGAAUUUUGGGCAAUGGGCGAAAGCCUGACCCAGCAACGCCGCGUGAGGGAUGAAGUAUUUCGGUAUGUAGACCUCGAAAGAAUGGGAAGAAUAAAUGACGGUACCAUUUAUAAGCUCCGGCUAACUACGUGCCAGCAGCCGCGGUAAUACGUCGGGAGCAAGCGUUGUUCGGAUUUACUGGGCGUAAAGGGCGCGUAGGCGGCGCGGUAAGUCACUUGUGAAAUCUCUGAGCUUAACUCAGAACGGCCAAGUGAUACUGCUGUGCUAGAGUGCGGAAGAGGCAACCGGAAUUCUUGGUGUAGCGGUGAAAUGCGUAGAUAUCAAGAGGAACACCUGAGGCGAAGGCGGGUUGCUGGGCCGACACUGACGCUGAUGCGCGAAGGCCAGGGGAGCAAACG